AGUUGUGGCAAUCUUGGAAUCAGGACUGCAGGCAGGAUAGUGCAGCCAUAAGCCUGUCAGGAAGUCUGGAGAAACCGAGAUGCCAGGACAAUGUUCCUUUGGAAAAGUUUAUCCUACUGUCCACGGGACUGGACUGUGGAGGACCCACUGCCUACAACUGAGGGAACACGAUUGGAAGGGGCUGGAGCCAUUGGCAGAGCUAGAUCCUUGGAAUCUCUUAAGGGCACUGGAGAAGCUCAGGAACAGCAAGUGGAAUGCAGCUGGCCUUCUGGACACUGAGGGCCAGGAGAGGUGGCUGGCUGCAGCUUGCUGAGCAUCUUGGCAUCUUGGCGUGGUGGCAGCUAUUGUCCAGUUUAGUGGCGUUUCCCUUGAAUACCAUACUGGAGGAAGCCUAGUAACCUAGUUCAGGUGAGGUGUCUUCUCUGAGCUCUCUCGGAGUUUAAGCUGAUUUUUCCUCAUUUACCUUCCAAACACUAUCCACUUAGAAGCCUCUAAUCUUCUUCAGAAACCUUGUGGCAGAGGAUCAUGAACUCCCCCUGGCACAGGCCAGGAGGGAGAAAUCCUAUAUCUUUUCCCUCUCUCUUCUCCUUGAAUUCUUCCCUCUAUAUUGACUAAACCACCAUAGAUUUCCAAACUGACUUGGAUAUUUUAUUUGGGAUAUUCCCUGGGGACCAAAAAUCAAACUUGGAUUAGGUCACAACCCUAAAUUAUCCUUACAUUCGUCUCUUCCCUGACUUCUCCUUGAAUUUGUGCCCAAGCUGGACCAAUUCUGAAGGACUCGGGACAGAGGAUGCUCUCCCCCUCCAGAAAGGGAAUGCAGACGAGGCAGACGUUUGACGAGAUUCCUCAUUUACAGAAGUGAACAAUCUGGGAAUAUACCCAGCUCCAAGGGCCUGCCAGCCCGCGGAGGGGGAUGGGAAGGAAAGGGAGAUAAGGGCCAUCAGAGAACUUCGGAGAACUGGUGGCGAAACUUGGCAUUUCAUUAAAAAAGAUCCUCUUUCAAGUGAGUGGUGUGAUUCUGGCCCCUAGAUCUUGAUCCAAAGGGCGGUGGGGUACCAGGGUAGAGGGGGGCACUGCUAUAGGGGCUAGGGAGUAAGCUCCAUGGAUUGUAUGGAGUGCGGGCACCAUCUGGUGAGUAGGGAGGAGUAUCUCCUCCAUUGCUGGGAAGCGUCGCCCUCCCUGCAC
rnacentral:lncRNA from 1 species